rnacentral:misc_RNA from 1 species
UACGUAGGUGGCAAGCGUUGUCCGGCAUUAUUGGGCGUCAAGCGCGCGCAGGCGGCCUCUUAUGUCUGAUGUGAAAGCGCCCGGCUCAACCUGGGAGGGCCAUUGGAAACUGGGAGGCUUGAGUAUAGGAGAGAAGAGUGGAAUUACACGUGUAGAGGUGAAAUGCGUAGAGAUGGGGAGGAACACCAGUGGCGAAGGCGACUCUUUGGCCUAUAACUGACGCUGAGGCGCGAAAGCGUGGGGAGCAAACAGG